AGAAGCAGGGGAGAGGUGGAUGAUGGAGCAAUUCAAGGACUGCAGUAGAAGGCUCCUGUGUCUCCAUUAGGGGAAAAGUGCAUGACACAUCAGUGCCUCUUCUGCUUAUCUGCUACAGUGAGGAUGGGAGAGGAUGUGUGGGCAUGAGCAUGUGGACACAGAGACUUCUCUGCAGAUCCCUAAGCUUUACAAGAAGACCCUCAAAGCCCUUUCACAGAGAUACUGGUCAGAGCUCCUGAGAUGCCAGAGCUUCAUCCUCCCACCCCACUGUGUCAGGCUUGGUGAGACUCCCGGGAGAGCCGAAUGCCAUCAGCUCUGUGUCACAGCACUGUCCCCAGGCUCGGGACACACUGUUUCACACUCUGCUUACUGUAAGUAAGGCUCUGCAAGGACACAGCGUGCCUGUGAGAGCUCAGGAGUGCUCAGGAGCAGCUGAGAUGCCCAGCCACCCCUCUGGGACUGGGCUGAGAACCGUGUGCGUAACAUCAGGCACGGCUUUUGGGGUUAAAGAGGAAGAAAGUCUGCAAUUGUUCGUAUACAGACAGUGCUCAGGACAUUGUGAGAGCAGAGUGAAGUACUCCUCACCUGACAAUCAAGCCCUAAAAACGAGCAGCCUCUCCCAGCCCCUCAAAAUGCACGCUGGCAGACUCAGUGCCAAUGUGCCAGAUCUCUGACAAGGCAAGGUCAGAAAGCACAAAGUUUUAGCUGCUCUGUCAUGCCAGGAACAAAAAAAAAAGAGCUAAAACACCAACCUACCAUCCAACCAAAACCACACAAAAGCCCCAACAACAACAAAACAAACAACCCAAAGCCUUGUUUUAAAAUAAGCUGUUCUAAAUAAACAAGUGAUCUUUGAACCACAGCAAAGUACGUAUGUAACAAUGUUUGUUAAGUAAAUAUCAGUGGCAUGUUUAAGUCUGGCUCAGUAGGUAUUAGCAAAGUGAUAUUUGUGUUGCUUUUGUUGUAACAAGAAUGUUUGUAGAAGGUGGUCUGAAAAAAGGGGCUUUGGAUUUGGGAUUUUAUUUCUUCCAUCUGCUUACCAGUAGCCCCACUUUGGGACUUAAAAAUCCUUCCUAAUGCAUUGAAUUUGGUGAAGCUAUAUUUACUUCCAUUGGCUUAGCUCUGUUCAUAAUCUGCCUCAUGAGUAUUACUUCUUACCCAUGGAUCCACUUCUUAGAUAAUUUUGUCUUUCUGAAGGAAAUCUGUCCUAAGACUGGUUGCAAAUAUAUGGUCACAUUAUUAUAGCGUGUCUCUGAAA